GUCAAAUCUAAUAUGCAGGUCUAUGUGCCGUACCUGAUCUUCUUUGGUAUAAGAUAUGCCUCUGCAGAAGAUAAGGUGCUGCAUGUAGGCUUAUAUAUCUAGAUUCCACCCGAUCUACAAGCCAACUUCAAAUUUUCUUUGGGAUGUGAUGUUGUUUUUGGUGACAGAUCUAUAUGUUAUAUAUACUUGUAUGUAGUAUCGGAUCUUAAAAUUUUCUUUGGGAUAUGAUGUUGUUAUUGGUGAUAGUAUGUAGAUCUGUGUUUGUUUUUUCUUUCAUCUAUCUAUAUAUUUGUAUGUAUUAUCAGAUCUUCAAAUUUUCUUUGGGCUAUGGUUUUGUUUUUGGUAAUAGAUCUAUAUGUUAUAUAUGUAGAUCUUUAAAUCUGGAUUUAAAGUAGAUUUUAGAUUAUGAAGUUUGUAUCUGAUUUUAAAGUGUUUUUGGUUUUAGAUUAUCAAGUUUAUACCUGAUUUUCAAUAUUUCUUUAGGAUUCGAUGUUUUUCUCUUUAUAUCAAAUAUGUUAUUAUUUUUCCCCUGAUUGAUCGGCCCGAUAAAUUGCGGCCCAACAUAUCUAAAAUAUUUUUUUCCGAUAUAGUGAGGCCCAAUAAUCUUUAGCUCUUACUAAUAUAUAUAUUUUUGUUUUGAGAAAGAACCCUAAAUUGAUGUGUCACAAUGAUUUCUCGCUUCUGUUCUUUUGCUCCCGGCUUCCGUUCUCUGAUAAGUUCUUCACUCUCGCGUACUCGGGCUCUUCAUUCCGGCUAUGGUUCAUUUGCUUUAGGUUCGUCUGCUCCUGCUCGAUUUGGAUCUCGCUUCGGAGAUUAUUCUCGGUCUCCGCGUAGUCUCUUUGCUCCGAGUUUCAGAUCUCUUCAUCAUGGUUCUGUGACUUCCACUCUCGUCUUUCUCAAUGACGAGAAUGGUAAGUGCGUACAGAUACUAACUGAGACCGUUAGUGUGUCCCUGUUUGAUGAUUAGGAUUUGAGUAAGAGAUUCUUUGCAGUAUGGGCUUUGUAUAGGAUGCUAGUGUUUUUGGGUUCGUCGUUCCCUUCUCUGGGUAGGAAAUAUCCCUCAUUGGCUAGCUCUCAUGAUAGGUUUAUUGCCAGAGUUUUUAGUGCUCAAAUUGGGUCGAAAGUCUAUGGACAACAUGAAGCUGCUGUUAGAUUGUCAAAGUUUUAUUCAUAUGUCAUGUUGUAUUGUGUUGGGUUUAGCUGGGUUGGUCUUUUGUCAUGGGAGUCAUGGUACAAUACGAUGGAAGUUGAAGCUUUACACUCUAAGGUGGAGGAAUUUGAUGAUCGUCUUAACCGUGUUGAGGAUUUUGUGGGUCUUCAAGUAAAGAAGGAAGAACAAUUGAAGAAGUCAUUCACCGUUGACCAUGCUUUGCUAGUGUUUCUUUAUGCCACUACAAAAAUGUGCAAGGUUUUUCCUUGUACGGCUUAAUCUCAUUAUCUUGUAAUCGAUGUUGUUUCUUUGUGGGCUGUAAUCUUCGUUUAAAACAUUUAGAAGACACGACAGGCUGUUAUUGUUCAGAUUUUGCAUCUUCUGUUUCUUGUCUCUUGAGAAAUAUUUAUGGAAUCUGCACCUUUCUUUGUG